CAUCCACAGUCAGGAAGUGGAGAGAGAUGAGGGAUGCUGUUCGGCUCACUUCCUCUUUUUUUAUUCCAUCUCGUUCCAUGGCCCAUGGGACGGUGCUGUCCACAGUGAGGGUGCUUCUUCCCCUUCCAUUCAUCUAAUCUAGAAAAAUCCCUCAUUCUAGCUGCUGUGAAGUUGUCAGUAUCAACAUUAAGCAUCAUAGGAAGUUAGGUCUUCAGGAAGUACGUCAGCUAUAGAGUCCCCAUGAAUGGGAUUCCUUUCCUCUUAAAGAGGCCAGGGAGAGAUGGCUCUCCCCUCUGAGGACGGAAAGAACACAGCAGGAAGGCACCCCCUACAAACUAGAAACCUCAGCACUGACUCUGCUUUGGGCUUCUCCAUCUCAGAAGGAAGUAGCCUGACUGGGACAUAUGACCUCAAAAGGACUGAGAGGAAGCCUGGUAGCAGGAUGAGCUGCCUACUUUUCUGAGUCACCUUAGGACAAAUGAGUCUCCAACAUGAGGAGGCAGGAACAAGAACACCUUAGCAUCCUCCAUGAACAUGUGCAGAUGGGAAGAUAUGACCAAAAGAGGCCAGCACUGCUGUACUCAUCAGACUCUGAUCAUGGAAAGCACAUUUCCAUCAUUGUCAUCUGUAGGCUAGCAUGAUGCCAGACAACCUCAUCCAAAUUCAAGCCUGCCAUUCAUGAGUUUGGAACCAAUGACUUGGGAUCACUGUGAGUCAGUUUGUGCCUCUAUAUAAUGGAACAGUGAUACUUCUAUAUAGUGGGAUAGGUGGCACAUCUCAUAUGGAGCACUGUGAAAUA